UUCCUGCGCAGUAGGAGAGGAACCGUAAGUACUGCCUCAUGAAACAAUACUUGUUCGAGCUAACAGUGGUAUGACGCUGCGUCCGUUGGAUUAUACCUGAACCCCUCUAAGAUCGUAUCCA
rnacentral:ncRNA from 1 species